rnacentral:lncRNA from 1 species
UGUGCGAAAACAGUAUAACCUCAUUUGACCUUUUGACCCUUGGUCAGGACUGGUCAAUGCCGGCCAAUUUAAAAUCCACAGGUUUUGACAACUCAUUGUGAAAACCUUCGGUUUGAUGAACGUAAGUCCCUGGGAGCUUUUAACUUCCAUAAAGUACUGAGAAAAUACAUAUUUAACUUUCAAAAUAUCUUAAAAAAGCCUUAAUAAAAACUUUACACCCGGACCGAAAAACAAUUUACAAAAUAGUUUUAGCCUCCGGUAAACAGAUAUUGGGUUUCCAUUAUAGUAUUUCGCAAUAUUGCAUCAGCCGGUUACGACUAGUUUUAUCAAUACACAUAACAUUCUUUACUGUUUUAAGUAUUAUAACGAAAAAAGUGGAAUUUAAACAACUGAAAUGUAUUCAAGAAUUCUACAAAGAUAUUAUUAGCCAGACGAAUUACAACGUGAAAAAUCCAAGACUUUAUAAAGACAACGAACGUUUAACACAAAAUAUAUCAUCGGAAGACUUCAA